AUUGAACGCUGGCGGCAUGCCUUACACAUGCAAGUCGAACGGCAGUACGGGAGCAAUCCUGGCGGCGAGUGGCGAACGGGUGAGUAAUAUAUCGGAACGUGCCCAGUAGUGGGGGAUAACUGCUCGAAAGAGCAGCUAAUACCGCAUACGACCUGAGGGUGAAAGGGGGGGAUCGCAAGACCUCUCGCUAUUGGAGCGGCCGAUAUCAGAUUAGCUAGUUGGUGGGGUAAAGGCCUACCAAGGCAACGAUCUGUAGUUGGUCUGAGAGGACGACCAGCCACACUGGGACUGAGACACGGCCCAGACUCCUACGGGCGGCAGCAGUGGGGAAUUUUGGACAAUGGGCGCAAGCCUGAUCCAGCAAUGCCGCGUGCAGGAAGAAGGCCUUCGGGUUGUAAACUGCUUUUGUCAGGGAAGAAAUCCUCUAGGUUAAUACCCUUGGGGGGAUGACGGUACCUGAAGAAUAAGCACCGGCUAACUACGUGCCAGCCGCCGCCGUAAUAC
rnacentral:rRNA from 1 species